rnacentral:rRNA from 1 species
UACGUAGGGGGCAAGCGUUGUCCGGAUUUAUUGGGCGUAAAGAGCGUGUAGGCGGUUAGGUAGGUCCGUUGUGAAAACUCGAGGCUCAACCUCGAGACGCCGAUGGAAACCAUCUGACUAGAGUCCGGAAGAGGAGAGUGGAAUUCCUGGUGUAGCGGUGAAAUGCGCAGAUAUCAGGAGGAACACCGGUGGCGAAGGCGGGUCUCUGGGCCGAUAUUGACGCUGAGGAGCGAAAGCGUGGGGAGCAAACAGG